rnacentral:rRNA from 1 species
AUGGCGGAGGAGAUUGCUGCUCUUGAACGCACUGGUACCUGGGAUCUUGUUUCUCUUCCUCCCGGAGUCCGUCCCAUCACUUGUAAGUGGGUCUACAAGGUUAAGACUCGCUCCGAUGGUUCUCUUGAGCGUCACAAAGCUCGUCUUGUGGCUCGUGGUUUUCAGAAGGAGCAUGGUCGUGAUUAUGACGAGACUUUUGCUCCUGUGGCCCAUAUGACCACUAUUCGUACACUUCUUGUCGUUGCCUCUGGUCUAUAUCUCAGCUUGAUGUUAAGAAUGCCUUUCUUAAUGGUGAGCUGCGUGAGGAGGUGUACAUGCAGCCACCACCUGGGUAUUCUGUUCCUGAUGGCAUGGUGUGUCGUCUUCAUCGCUCUCUCUAUGGCCUUAAGCAAGCCCCUCGCGCCUGGUUUGAGCGUUUUGCUUCUGUGGUCACUACUGCUGGUUUUUCAGCAAGUGCUCAUGAUCCCGCAUUGUUUAUUCACCUUUCUCCUCGUGGCCGGACUCUUCUUCUCUAUGUUGAUGAUAUGGUCAUCACUGGGGAUGAUCCCGAGUAUAUUGCCUUUGUAA